rnacentral:rRNA from 1 species
UACGUAGGGGGCAAGCGUUGUCCGGAAUGACUGGGCGUAAAGGGUGUGUAGGCGGUUUCUUGCGUCGAAUGUGAAAGCCAUGGGCUCAACCCAUGAACUGCAUUCGAUACGGGGAAACUAGAGUGUGGGAGAGGUUCGUGGAAUUCCUAGUGUAGCGGUAGAAUGCGUAGAUAUUAGGAGGAACAUCGGAGGCGAAGGCGGCGAACUGGACCAUAACUGACGCUGAGACACGAAAGCGUGGGGAGCAAACAGG